rnacentral:rRNA from 1 species
GCUCCAGACUCCUACGGGAGGCAGCAGUGGGGAAUAUUGGGCAAUGGGCGCAAGCCUGACCCAGCAACGCCGCGUGAAGGAAGAAGGCUUUCGGGUUGUAAACUUCUUUUCUGAGGGACGAAGAAAGUGACGGUACCUCAGGAAUAAGCCGCGGCUAACUGCGUGCCAGCAGCCGCGGUAUUCCGUAGGGGGAAAGCGUUAUCCGGAAUUACUGGGUGUAAAGGGUGAGUAGGCGGCAUGGUAAGCCAGAUGUGAAAGCCUUGGGCUUAACCCGAGGAUUGCAUUUGGAACUAUCAAGCUAGAGUACAGGAGAGGAAAGCGGAAUUCCUAGUGUAGCGGUGAAAUGCGUAGAUAUUAGGAAGAACACCAGUGGCGAAGGCGGCUUUCUGGACUGAAACUGACGCUGAGACGCGAAAGCGUGGGGAGCGAACAGGAUUAGAUACCCGAGUACA